CAACCCUGAUCCAGCCAUGCCGCGUGAGUGAAGAAGGCCUUCGGGUUGUAAAGCUCUUUCGGCCGGGAAGAAAUCGCAUAGGCUAAUACCCCUGUGUGGAUGACGGUACCGGAAUAAGAAGCACCGGCUAACUACGUGCCAGCAGCCGCGGUAAUACGUAGGGUGCGAGCGUUAAUCGGAAUUACUGGGCGUAAAGCGUGCGCAGGCGGUUUAGUAAGACAGGCGUGAAAUCCCCGGGCUCAACCUGGGAACUGCGCUUGUGACUGCUAAGCUAGAGUACGGCAGAGGGGGUGGAAUUCCACGUGUAGCAGUUGAAAUGCGUUAGAGAUGUGGAGGAACACCGAUGGCGAAGGCAGCCCCCUGGGUCCGAUACUGACGCUCAUGCACGAAAGCGUGGGUAGCAAACAGGAUUAGAUACCCUGGUAGUCCACGCCCUAAACGAUGUCAACUAGGUGUUGGGAGGGUAAAACCUUUUAGUACCGGAGCUAACGCGUGAAGUUGACCGCCUGGGGAGUACGGCCGCAAGGUUAAAAACUCAAAGGAAUUGUACGGG
rnacentral:rRNA from 1 species